rnacentral:lncRNA from 1 species
GCAAUAAGAGAACCCAUCCCUGUGUAGGCUUGUAGUGAUCCUACCUUUUCCCUCAUUUACUUGUUCAUUAUCCUUAAGACAUAGUGCUGCCAUCUCGGGCGGGCUAGCUACAUUUACCACCUCAACUACAAUUCUUUAUGAAAUAGACUCUUUACCUUAUCUUAUAUAUCUCUUAUGACUUUAUAGAUAUAUGAGAUGAACUUUGUAGAUUAGAUUACAGACGACUUCCUUACCCUUUCAAGAUGGAUUAAUAGGCGUUUACAUAGGCUUGAAAUAAUGCAGAGUUUAGAGAUAUAGUUUCAUUCAGUUAGUGGCGGGGGGCACAUAAAGGUCAGAAAGCAGAACAGCUCAAAGCGCAGCACAGCUAGCAUGAAAAUCCUCGAUAACUCCGGGGGGGAGAAAACGGAAGUAAGCUUAUUCACCAAUGAACACAUAGCCCUUGUAAUGCGUUGGUAUUAUUAUAAAGAGACACUUUUUCCCUCGAGAGCUUCACUUCCCAUGCUUAGGAGAAGGAGUCCAAAGGUAAGCUACCGAACCCCGUGGUCCUAGAUUACCCGUAAGGCUUUUCGCCGGUCCACAACUCGGGUGGAAGGUACCAAUUGAUAGGGCACACGAAGGGUAAGUGGAAGGUAUAUCAUGAUCAAAAACCUCCAUUUCUUCCUCCAAUCACUAAGACUAACGGAAUCCAUAUUUGAUACCGGAGCCAGUUGACCAGCUUUCAACUAUUAGGUUUGUUUUUGCAGCGGAUUUCUUUGAAAACCAACCACAAGCAAGGCAAGGAAAAUCUAAUUGACGGAACUUUCCCAGGAAAGAAUGCUGGAAUUUAUGCUCUUCCCCACUAUUCUCGGAAAUUAUCAGCGUUAUGGGGUCUUCGUAGCGGUCAAGGAGCUCUCAUUGGAUAAAGUUCUCUGGCAUUAUGCUCUGUGAACUAUCUGAUAAGAGUCAUAAUUUGUCUGAAUCGACUGAAAGGUUAUUAAGGUGUCCAAAGCUUUGAGCGAACAAGAACCUUCCACUCUUUUUUGCAAAGCUAUAGACAUAUUGGAUUUGACUUAUCAAUUUGUAAGAUGCACUGAUUUCUGCCUUUUUGAGACUUCGAUUCACCUGAGUGUAAGCUUGGUUUGUAAUGUGCUUUCUCUAUAGAUGGAUCUUCUCCUCUUUUGGUAAGCUUGGUUUGUCAUGCUUUCUCUAUAGAUGGAUCUUCGACCUCUAUCGCACUUAUUAUCUUGAUCUUCGACCUAUUUUGGAAGCCUUUGAAGAGUCCUGCUGUCUUGUCUUACCUGGCAAUGAGUUAAGCCGGCCGUCUCAGGAUGGCUUGGGCAUCGGGCAAAGAAAUCCAAUGUGUUUUCAGGCGUCUAACAGAGCUGUCUGCCAAAGACCCCUUCCUAUGCUUCGGGGCAUUAGGUAAGAUUCCCUCUCGCCCCCACUUACAAGAAGCUUACGUAAGCAAUGUAUUUCGCCGAUCAAUAUCCGAACGGAACGGAUUAGAACUUAUACUAGAAUCGUUUACUGUGCUAAAUUCACCAUCGCUUUCUUUUGAGCAGUUCACUGGUAUCUUAUCAAGCAGAUUCCGUAAGAGCGCAUUCCAUGUCCUAUUCGAUUCUUAGGUUCCAAAGCAAGCAGCAAGCUCCCUUCUAAUGUGUUAUUAGGAAGGCCAGAUCUUUCUUUUCUAUAUAUAUAUAGAGAGAGAGGGUCCCCUUAUUCCCGUGGUUGAGCUUAUAUAACUUGUUACCGGGGGUUCCAUAAAAUGCUUUUGGUGAGGCAGUUCAGAGAUCUUUUUGCUGAAUGGGAAGAGGAAAAGGAAAUACUACUGCUUUAGCUCCUAACCGAAUCGGGUACCUAUAUGCUCUUGAUUAAAGGAAAGCAAAGCAAGGAGUCAGUUUACUACAAGGAAGGCCUUAGGGGGUCUGGCCUGUGCUACUCAUAGGCGCUGUCCUACGAAUAGUCUCUUUUCUAGAUGUCUUUCCCAGUCGGUGGCUGAGGGCAAGGUGCUCGAAAGUCUCUACUUUACUGAGUCUAAAGGGUAGGAAAGGAAAAAGUCAAUAAUGCAUAAAUGAGAAAACUUUGCCUCUUCCUGCUGGUAUAGGUUUAGGGUAAGUGUUUAGGGGGAAAGGUUUGAUUCUCUCCUU